UUAGUAUAGAACUAUAGAUAAAAUAACUUCUCCCUCUUCGAAGACACUUUCGAUUCCUUAAGCUUUUUGCAGAUUCUACUGCACUAUCGCACCCACCGCCGCACUUCUGCACUGCCUCAUCGCUGCACUGCUGAGCUAUCCCUACACCAUCCAUGACCAUGCUUCUAAAAGAGUACUGGCUGUUGGUUCAAGGCAAUCUAGAUUAUAUAGAUUUUCUAAGUAUGUAGAUGACAGGAAUUCUAUUGUUACGAAUUCUGUUUAGUUUGUAAUAAUGCUAUUACUACAAAUAAUGCUAGUCCUAGUUUAGAUGUUGUUCAUGCUAGACUAGGGCAUCCUGCAAGUGGUUGUAUGAAACAUAUUCCAGUUCCAUCAUUUGGCAAAUUGAAUAAAACUCUUGAUUUUAGUUGUG